rnacentral:rRNA from 1 species
CAGUCGCCGCGGGAAUACAGAGGGUGCGAGCGUUAAUCGGAUUUACUGGGCGUAAAGCGUGCGUAGGCGGCUUUUUAAGUCGGAUGUGAAAUCCUUGAGCUUAACUUAGGAAUUGCAUUCGAUACUGGGAAGCUAGAGUAUGGGAGAGGAUGGUAGAAUUCCAGGUGUAGCGGUGAAAUGCGUAGAGAUCUGGAGGAAUACCGAUGGCGAAGGCAGCCAUCUGGCCUAAUACUGACGCUGAGGUACGAAAGCAUGGGGAGCAAACAGGAUUAGAUACCCCCGUAGUCCCUGUCUCUUAUAA